GCUCCUUUCACCACUCUGGUCUCAGAAAAGUACAUUUGCCAUAAAGAACAAAGAAUGUCUGAGAACAGAUUAUGUGUCUAGAGAAGCACUGGAGGUCAGGAUGACCUGAGACCUUCAAGGAAGCACAUCAUCCCUGCAUCCUUCCCCCACAUAACUGGUUGAGAAAGCAAGCACAGGCCAGAUCACAGGACCAUGCUCUGGCCUCCCAGAUGGGCUCUCCCUGCAGAUGUGGCCUCCAGAGCCAGCCUUGCACUGCCCCACACCUCUCCAGCUUCUCAAAUCUGUGUCUUUAGACACACAGUGCACAACAAAGGAAAUGAAGGCAGAGAAUAAGGCCUUAACAGAGCUAAGAAAUGCAGUGUUGGUGACACUGGAGAGCGGAAUCUUCCAGAAAGCAGCCAAGUGUUGAGAAGAGAAAUAAGCAGGCCUAAGUAUGGAUCUUUUAAUGAACUUGAAGUACUUAACCCAGCCAUCAAAACUAGGAGUCUCAUUACUGGAUAACCUGGAGAAGAGCUUCCAGAGGCUGCUUCAUUCUGCUGUAGAUUUGAGGUACUGCUUCAAAUUGCUCUGUAUAUCCACUGACAGCACUGAGCUCAUCUGAGUCAGCUCCAUGGGAUGGGCUUCUGUUGGUGUCAGGAAACUGAACAACACAAGGAAAGAAGAGCAGUAAAGGAUCAGGCAGAGAAAUGAGGGGUCCAUUAAGGAGGUUAAGGUGCAGGGAUCUUUACAGCAGGAACUGGAAUCCUCUGUAGCGUCUACAUUGGGCACAUUGGCUGGUACUGCAAGUUUGUGAACACCUGAUCACCCAAGCAGUGACUCCAUUGAACAGAAGAGGGGUUUUCUAUUUUUUCUUGCUUCAGAAAGGUGAAGAAUUGUACCACAGGUGGAGGGAACAAAACAACUUGUUAACAUUGUGAAAGACUGAUGGUAGAACUGCCUGAUCUCAAUGCCAAGGCAUUUAGUCCAAUGAUAACUCAGGGUUUUCUGAAUAUUUAUCUAGCACACCAUUUCUGAGCUGGAAGCAGUUCACCUCCUUGGAGAAGCCGAGUUGGAGAUACUCUCUGCAGCAUCAUUUGGAGCAUCCCAACUUCAAAGCAAAUUAUUCAACCCAAUCACUCCAGACUCUCUCUGCUGAAAUCAGGAGCAGGCUGGGGAAGGGCACAGCUUGGACAGCUCCUGCCUCACGUUCUGACUGCCCAGGAUUGGCUGAUGUCGUGAUGGAAACAGGGUUUAGUCCUUACAGACAGUGGGCAAAUGAAGGAUUCUGGUUCAUGAAGUGGCCAACAGCUGAAUUCACUUCAAAAAAUAGUCCAAUUGAGAAAAAUGUUUUAUUUAUUUCUAUUUAUUUUUUUAAUAGCUGGGAAGAAAACAUUUCCCUAGAUGAUAUCACAGUAAUAUUCAAAUAUGAUUCCCUGAGAAAUAUACUCACCAAGAUAUACUUAAUUUUAAAUUAGUUAAGUGGUUAUUUGGCUGAAAGGGAUUUUACAAACAAGAUCUACUUAUGAAUCUUCAGGCUAAGGAAAUAUUCUAGUGAAGUUAAUUAAGAAUAGGAUUCUUUACUAUGUCUUCUGGUUAAUAUGAUAAUCAGGACCAUGUUUGCAGCCACUGAGAACUGUAAUCAAACAACAACAACAAAAAGGUAAUAAUCAUCCACAUGCUUCACAGGCUUUUUUUUUCUUGAGGGAACCUUCUAGCUACAAUUAUAAAUAUUAUUUAUAGUGACAGUAUUACUUGUCUCAAAUUUGCAACCUCUUAAUAUGCUGGUGUUUUAGGAUUGAGCAAGAUUUAGAAGGGGAGGAAGUCUGGCAAACUUUAUCAGUAGAAUCUUCUGAUAAAGGGAAAUGGGCUUUUAUUUUUCCUCUUUGUUGUAAAUGUCUUCUAAAAGUCUGCCAUAGAAAAAAAUUAAAAUUGGAACUGUUUGAUGAAAAAGAAUGACAGUUUUGUUUUCUUAAUAAAAUGACAUUAUUUUUAGUAAAACAAUGUAACAGAAUUUUUGGGGGUUUGCUUGGGGUUUGUGACAUUUUGCCAAUGUCACCAUAAUUGCAAAAAAAAAAUCUGGUGUUACAACCACAGCAGUGAGGAGGUUCCAAUGUGUGAGGAGAGGGUGUUCAUAACACUCCUCAGCAUUGCUGUCCUGGCAAUUAACCAGCAGAGGGGUCACUAAAUGAGGGUCAAAUACAGGGGAGGAAUCUCCUAAAGGCAGGAGCCUUUGGGAACAGUCCUGUGGAGA